rnacentral:lncRNA from 1 species
ACAUCUCGGAUGGUAUUGUCACCAAUAGUCCUCUACAUAGUCCAACUGUGCCGGGACGUAGAAUGGGUACAACCGGUCUUUCUCUUAACAUAACAUAUCAUACAGUCCAACUGUGCCAGGGACGUAGAAUGGGUACAACCUGGACUUCCAUACCAUAUCAUGCCAUAACAUCAUCAUAUCAUAUGAGGACUAAAGGAUCAUCC